AUCCUGGCUCAGAUUGAACGCUGGCGGCAGGCCUAACACAUGCAAGUCGAGCGGUAGAGAGGUGCUUGCAUCUCUUGAGAGCGGCGGACGGGUGAGUAAUGCCUAGGAAUCUGCCUAGUGGUGGGGGAUAACGUUCGGAAACGGACGCUAAUACCGCAUACGUCCUACGGGAGAAAGCGGGGGGAUCUUCGGACCUCACGCCAUUAGAUGAGCCUAGGUCGGAUUAGCUAGUUGGUGUGGUAAUGGCUCACCAAGGCGACGAUCCGUAACUGGUCUGAGAGGAUGAUCAGUCACACUAGAACUGAGACACGGUCCAGACUCCUACGGGAGGCAGCAGUGGGGAAUAUUGGACAAUGGGCGAAAGCCUGAUCCAGCCAUGCCGCGUGUGUGAAGAAGGUCUUCGGAUUGUAAAGCACUUUAAGUUGGGAGGAAGGGUAGUAACCUAAUACGUUGCUACUUUGACGUUACCGACAGAAUAAGCACCGGCUAACUUCGUG
rnacentral:rRNA from 1 species